ACAGCGGCGGGUGGUGUGGGACGUGGUGGUGGGUUGCUGUCCCUGCGGUCGUAUCGAGGAGCUCACACUCUUCGCAGUCUCCUCCCUGAUCUGUGUCCCUGUGUGCCAGAAGCAUCGCUCAGUGAGACUUAAACAAGAAAUACCUUGUGCUACACUGCCACCUGUGCACCCUUGUUUGACUGAUGCUUGAUCCUGUCUGCUGGGAAGGCUGGCUGAAUGGAGGCAGACCCAUCUCCUCUUUCUCUCCUCUGGAACGUGCUUUCAGUCUGCUGCUGCAGUGCAGAUUUGCAGCUGGGUUCUGCUCAGGGUGUGUGGCUGCUCGGCCUCACUGCUGCUUUCCUGCACUGGAUGCGUGCACCUCCAGGAGUGUUGGUUCUUCUGCAUCUCAGGGAAGGAGACUCAUCCUCAUCUGCGCCCUUUUCAGCUGUGAAGGAAGUGUUGGUGCAGGGUCUCCAGGAGGGCCAUAGGUCCUAUGGGCCAACCUGGGCUCAUCCACGCAGAGCUCCUCCUGGCGCAGUGUGUCUGCCAUAUCCCAGUUUCUCACACUGGAUGGGCUGGGCUGCACCACGGGGAGGUGUUGGGAAGCACAGCGGCUGAAUGUGCCACUGCAGAGCCCACUCACAGCCAGGGCGCAUCCCCAGACUGCUCAUUUCUGGGCUCUCUUACCACCCAUGCAAGCACCUCCAUGAGGCCAGUGUGCCAAGCAGACUCCACCAUGCGGCAUUUCCCAGCAGAUCCCCCCAUGCUGCUUCUCCAGACUGCAUGUGCAGCUGCAAGCAGGAAUUCCCAGAGGAGCAGAAGAACUCUCCGGGCUCUGCUGUUAUCCUACAAGGCAUCAGCGUGGGGCCGGAUAAACCCAACGGAUCAAGGGCAGCUUGGCUGGUCAAUGGGAGGCAGCCAAGGCAAACAGCAGUGGCUCCCAGACCUCAACAGGAGCCCCUCGGUGGCUCACUACACUUCAUUUGCUCUUUUGCUUUUAGGAGAAGGGGUGAGGUGUGGGGCUGGGCAUGACAACAUGUGGGCUCUCGAGCGAACCCCCCCAGGGCCGAUGGAAACUGCGUACCGCUCAGCACGCUGCGCACGUCAUUAGGAAAAUGUUAGUUAAAAGGAAGGAUGCAAAUGGUCCCAGGCUGUGCUUCCUGAUCACUCCGCAGUGCCUCUGUGACAUCAUGUGCUUUUGUUACGGCUCCGAAACGCCUUCGAUGCUUUUUCGGGCACGUUCCCUCCCGCUCUGUCAGGGCUGGUUCACAUUAGGAUGUUUGCUCAGCAGCUACUGGGGUUUUGGCAGGACGGCUGCUGCCUUCUGCUUGCAGAGCACGAGGGGAUCGUGGGAUGCUGCUGGACGUGUCAAAGUGGAGUAUGGUUAUGCUGGGGAGAAAAGCAGCACUCGGGUCCGGACCCAUAGGGCUCCCAUUUGGAGGUGCUGCUGGUGCAAUGGGGCUGGGGGUCCCAUCAGCAUCAUGGGAAAUGGGGACCGCAGUGACUGUGGGCUCUGCAGACCCCUCCGGGGAGGUCACCCCCAUCCCAGACCCCUGGCAAAAAAAGAAAACAGUCCCAGCGUAUUCAUACUUGCAAAAACAAACAGGAGGAAGGCAGGAGAAGGAAGGAGCACGCCGUAGAGGAGUGCUGAGUUCCUAGACCUCCAAUCCCUCCAUUUCCAAUGGCCAUUUCCUCCUGAGCACCCCACACCAAGAGCAGUCCCUUUGGUGGUGCCCAGCAUGGUUAGCUUUCGAAGGGCACCUGUGUCCCUUCCCAAACAGAUUUGUCUCUUUUUUGGUCUCUUCAGCAUCUCCAGUGUUCACCCUGCAAUGCAACACUGCAGUAUCCAGCAGGCAAUGCUCCGCUUGGAUGGGAGGGUGCGGAGAGGGGCGAUGGAGGUGGUGCUCCACGUGCUGUUGGGGGCUGGGGGAUUCUCACUGCUGCUUCUCAGCAUUUCUCCAUUUAUUUCAGGCAGAUCCUGAGCCCAGCAAGUUAGUCAGUGUCAGUGCAGCGUUCCUUCCUGCUGAGAGGAGGAUGCCAGGCACGUGCCCUGCACACCCCCAGCACUGAGCAGCGCAGGGGUCAGGCAUCCUUCACCUCCAGCCCCUGAUAACGCUGCACUGGAGCCAGGCUGAGCUGGAACCUGGGGGACCGUAGAGGGGACACCUCCAGGUGCAAAAGGUGACACUUAGCUUGGCUUUAAUCUGUCCCCAAAAGCAAGCAUCCCGCUGGCUGCCAACUCACCUAACCGCCAAGCCAAUUAGCUUUGCUUUGUUUACCUCCUGCUGCUUUCCCCCCCAGCGAUCCCAACAAACAGGAUUUCAGUUCCCCCACCCCCCUCCCUCCCUCUCCGUGCUGUGAAUGCCGGGUCUCUGUUUGUUUGUUUGCUCGGGGAAGUGCAGGUGGCUGCCAGGACCCCCCCCCAGCCCGCAGCCAGGUGCCCCAGGUGGGCACACCGCCCGAUCCCAGCCUGCCCCAGCCUGCGCCCUCCGCGUUGCACAACGGCCGACGGAGCUCGGAUCGCGUUUCUUCCAAGAGCUGCUGGAAAGCAAACAUUUUUUUUGGGGGGGGGGGGGGCUGGAGGACCGGACAAUGGGGGAAAACAAGUCAUUAAGCCGCUCCGGCUCUGCUG
rnacentral:lncRNA from 1 species